AAUAAACAUGAAAACAGGCUGUUGUAAGAGGUUUAUAGACCCUGUAUGACCAUGUAAGUAUGCGUAAAAAAAUAUUUCCUCAGAAAAUACGAAUGAACAAACCACAGGGCUGUUUUAUCACUUCUAAAUCAAGGGGUCUAAACGGCGCAUGGACACUUCCUGUUUCUCAGGAAAAUAUUAUUAGUUCUAUAAAAGAAGCUCCAUCUUGCUUUUGUAGACGUUCAUCACUCAGAUCCAAGAUCUCCAUCAAGUACAGAGAGAGGAUUGUUCUCUGGACAAAAUGAGAAUACAGGUCAUUUUUGGAGUCCUGUUGAUUUACACCCACGUUGUCAUGGGUUCACUGUUUCAGGAUCAUGUCUGUAGAUUUAAUCAGAUUAAACCGUGUUAUGUAGCUGUGGGACAACGACUGUACCUGCAAAUGCCGCUGGAGGAUGGGUUUGACCUAAAGACCACUAGUUUCAACUUAACAUA